AACGAACGCUGGCGGCAUGCCUAACACAUGCAAGUCGAACGGGAUCCUAGCUUGCUAGGUGAGAGUGGCGGACGGGUGAGUAACACGUGGGAAUCUGCCUUUUGGUUCGGGAUAACCGCGGGAAACUGCGGCUAAUACCGAAUGCCCUCGAGAGAGGAAAGAUUUAUCGCCAGAAGAGGAGCCCGCGUCCGAUUAGGUAGUUGGUGGGGUAAAGCCUACAAGCCGACGAUCGGUAGCUGGUCUGAGAGGAUGAUCAGCCACACUGGGACUGAGAUACGGCCCAGACUCCUACGGGAGGCAGCAGUGGGGAAUAUUGGACAAUGGGGGCAACCCUGAUCCAGCAAUGCCGCGUGAGUGAUGAA
rnacentral:rRNA from 1 species